CUACGGGGGGCAGCAGUGAGGAAUAUUGCACAAUGGGGGGAACCCUGAUGCAGCAACGCCGCGUGGAGGAUGACGCAUUUCGGUGUGUAAACUCCUUUUAUAUGUCAAGAAAAUGACGGUAGCAUAUGAAUAAGCACCGGCUAACUCCGUGCCAGCAGCCGCGGUAAUACGGAGGGUGCAAGCGUUACUCGGAAUCACUGGGCGUAAAGGACGCGUAGGCGGGUUGGAAAGUCAGGUGUGAAAUCCUACAGCUUAACUGUAGAACUGCACUUGAAACUUCUAAUCUAGAGUAUGGGAGGGGAGAUGGAAUUAGUGGUGUAGGGGUAAAAUCCGUAGAUAUCACCAGGAAUACCUAAAGCGAAGGCGAUCUCCUGGAACAUUACUGACGCUAAGGCGUGAAAGCGUGGGGAGCAAACAGGAUUAGAUACCCCGGUAGUC
rnacentral:rRNA from 1 species